rnacentral:rRNA from 1 species
AUUGAACGCUGGCGGCAGGCCUAACACAUGCAAGUCGAGCGGUAGAGAGAAGCUUGCUUCUCUUGAGAGCGGCGGACGGGUGAGUAAUGCCUAGGAAUCUGCCUGGUAGUGGGGGAUAACGUUCGGAAACGGACGCUAAUACCGCAUACGUCCUACGGGAGAAAGCAGGGGACCUUCGGGCCUUGCGCUAUCAGAUGAGCCUAGGUCGGAUUAGCUAGUUGGUGAGGUAAUGGCUCACCAAGGCGACGAUCCGUAACUGGUCUGAGAGGAUGAUCAGUCACACUGGAACUGAGACACGGUCCAGACUCCUACGGGAGGCAGCAGUGGGGAAUAUUGGACAAUGGGCGAAAGCCUGAUCCAGCCAUGCCGCGUGUGUGAAGAAGGUCUUCGGAUUGUAAAGCACUUUAAGUUGGGAGGAAGGGCAGUAAAUUAAUACUUUGCUGUUUUGACG